rnacentral:rRNA from 1 species
CCAGGCUUUGGGAUAACCCCGGGAAACCGGGGCUAAUACCGGAUAUGACCUUGCACCGCAUGGUGUUUGGUGGAAAGUUUUUCGGCUUGGGAUGGGCUCGCGGCCUAUCAGCUUGUUGGUGGGGUGAUGGCCUACCAAGGCGACGACGGGUAGCCGGCCUGAGAGGGCGACCGGCCACACUGGGACUGAGACACGGCCCAGACUCCUACGGGAGGCAGCAGUGGGGAAUAUUGCACAAUGGGCGGAAGCCUGAUGCAGCGACGCCGCGUGAGGGAUGACGGCCUUCGGGUUGUAAACCUAUUACAACAGGGACGAAGCGUAAGUGACGGUACCUGCAGAAGAAGCGCCGGCCAACUACGUGCCAGCAGCCGCGGUAAGACGUAGGGCGCGAGCGUUGUCCGGAUUUAUUGGGCGUAAAGAGCUCGUAGGCGGCUUGUCGCGUCGACCGUGAAAACCUGGGGCUCAACCCCAGGCCUGCGGUCGAUACGGGCAGGCUAGAGUUCGGUAGGGGAGACUGGAAUUCCUGGUGUAGCGGUGAAAUGCGCAGAUAUCAGGAGGAACACCGGUGGCGAAGGCGGGUCUCUGGGCCGAUACUGACGCUGAGGAGCGAAAAGGGGGGGAGCGAACAGGAUUAGAUACCCUGGUAG